GUCUACGGCCAUACCACCCUGAACGCACCCGAUCUUGUCUAUCUCAGAAGCUAAGCUGGGUCGGGCCUGGUUAGUACUUGGAUGGGAGAGCAUGAACACACAGGAACUGUGCUUA
rnacentral:rRNA from 1 species